UAUUUUCGAUAUCUUAAUAACUCAGAUGGUACGCCGAAAUCAAAAUCCCUAUGGCUGAGUUGCCUAACUACAAAGCAACGUUGGAUUCGUUGAUUUCCUAAAACUUUAGUUUUUUUUUCUAAUUUGUAGUCGGUGACUCACUCGCUGCGAACCACUUCAAGCCGUCAUUUUUCAAUCUCCGGUGCAUCUUCUAUUCUUCAAUUCCAUUUCUGUUUAUGAUUCCCUCUGUUUCCGCCUCAAAAUCUGAGAGGUUCAAGGCUCUAACCAUUUCUUACUAUAGGGCACCAAAAGAAAUCAUUCUAGAGUCUGUUAGUCAAGGAUCUCACCAUGCAAACAACAUCGUAUAGUCAUCCUUUAAUCUGUUUCUCUUGCAGAAACAUCAGUGCAAAUGGGAAGAAUAAAUAUAAGGUGAAAUUCUGUGCACCGUUUCCCUCUCAAUGGGAUCGGAAAUGUGAAUUCAAUGGGAGACCUCAAAUUUAUAAUUCUCCUGGCCCCAUAAAACCAAAAAGAUUGUUUGUGCUUCAUAACACAGAUGACAGCCAUCCAUCUGCUUCUACGGUAGGUGAUGAAAUGAACACAAACCAUGCUCCAAAUGGCUCAUCACCAGCAUUUCUCAGCAAUUGGUCACCUCCAAGGUAUCUGUGGAGGGGGUUAUCAGUUUUAAUCCUGGCAGGGCAGGUGAUUGUCAAAACUCUAAAGGGAAAGAUUCAUUGGAGGAACACUCUUCAACAACUGGAGAGAGUUGGUCCAAGAUCAGUUGGGGUGUGUCUUUUAACUUCGGCUUUUGUGGGCAUGGCCUUCACAAUUCAAUUUGUAAGAGAGUUCACAAGGUUAGGAUUGAACAGGUCUGUAGGUGGGGUUUUAGCUUUGGCUUUCUCAAGGGAGUUAAGUCCUGUUGUUACAGCAAUUGUGGUUGCAGGGCGCAUUGGAAGUGCUUUUGCAGCAGAGUUAGGAACUAUGCAGGUUUCUGAGCAAACUGAUACAUUGAGAGUUCUUGGUUCAGACCCUGUUGAUUACCUGGUGACACCAAGAGUGAUAGCCACUUGUAUUGCCCUACCUCUUUUGACCCUAUUGUGUUUUACAUUAGGGUUGGCAUCUAGUGCCAUUCUUGCUGAUGGUGUUUAUGGGGUGAGCAUCAACAUUAUCCUGGAUUCAGCUCAGCGGGCUCUCAGAUCAUGGGAUAUUAUUAGUGCAAUGAUCAAGUCACAGGUUUUUGGUGCUAUCAUAUCUAUUGUGAGUUGUGCGUGGGGAGUUACAACUUUGGGAGGUGCUAAAGGUGUUGGGGAAUCAACAACGUCAGCUGUGGUUAUUUCUCUAGUAGGCAUCUUCAUCGCCGAUUUUGCUCUUUCUUGUUGUUUCUUCCAAGGAGCAGGAGAUCAGCUAAAGAAUUGCAUUUAGGCAACUAAUGUUGUCUCUGCAAUUUGGUUUUUCUCUUUUGUACAAAGUGAAUGGGUAUAAAAUGUACCAGUGUAUAGAAAGAAUUGAAAUGAGGCAAUCAGUGCCUCUGACUUGGAAAUAUAGGUGAGUCUAAGUAAAUCGAAACUUUCAUAUCUCAAUCAUCUUAUAUUUUGUAGCUAUUAUUACUCAACUAAGCCUGAGAAAUCAUCUGAACAAUGGUGAAAUUUGUGUUCUAUUCUUUUCAUUGGGGCAAUUUUGUGUUAGUAAAUCGUGGAUUUCAUUAAUGAAUAGUGAUAAUGACCACUGCAUCACCAUGGUUUGGUUUUGGAAUCAACGGUUUAUUUGGAUAAAGUUGUUUGACAAUAACUGUCAAAAUAAUGAUAACUUAAUUAGUAAUUUGAUUUUUAUAUUUAAGUUUAUGAUUCAUUUUUAUUCUUAUAUAUUUUUUUACGGAGUCCUUAUAUUUUUUACACAGUCUUUAUAUUUUUUAAAUAGAGUCAAUGUGGUCCUUUAGCAUUAAAGAUGUUAUAAAAUGUGACCAUGUGUAAGUUCAAAUUCUAUUUUUCCUCUCCAACCCAAGCUUUUUUGGCGACACAAUCCCACCAUCCUGACAACACCCGCCACCACCACCAUAGCCGGACGCCCACCACCACCACCGUGACAGCACCCACCACCACCCACCCUCCUCUCCUACCGAUGGCAUUGUUCUUGAACCCCCUCCUUCCCCAUAUUUUUCUCUUAUCAGUGUCUCUCCUUCCAUUGAGACAGACACCUUUGCAUUGUUCCUCUGCUUGUUUUGUAUCCACUGUAAGAGUGUGCAAGAUUAUUGCGCGCUCUCUUUAUUUGCAUUGUUUGUGGCUGUUGACAUACAAGUUAUUAUGUGGUUUUGUAAGUGAAACUCAUCAAGGUUUUCUUUCAAGUUGGACUGCCAAGGGAUUAAGCUUUUUGGGACAUUUCUUUUUCAUCUUGUAGUUUCCCUUUUACAAGCACUGAGGAGAACUUUGACAACCAAAACAUGAACUGUAUGGUUUAAUGAGAUAAAGUUUUCACCUUUCAUGUUGUGAGGACUCAAAUUUGUAGAAAUUGGUGAAAUUGAGUGGACGGUAUUUUCUGUACUUCUAUUGGAAAUUAUUUUCCUGCAACUGGGAAAAUAUCUAUCUAUAUCUUUCUGAAUGCUUCCCUCCAUUUGGGACUACAUAACUGUGGAAACUGUUUCAUUCUUUUUGCAAUUAGAACUGCAUAUAAUUGAGGAAAAGAGA